GCAGUUGUGGUUCAUUGGUAGAAUUUUCACUUUCCAUGUGGGAGACCUGAGUUCAAUUCCUGGCCAGUGCA
rnacentral:tRNA from 1 species